UUCCGGUUGAUCCUGCCGGAGGCGACCGCUUUUGGAGUUCGAUUAAGCCAUGCGAGUAGAAAGAAAUUAGAUUCUUUGCGAACUGCUCAGUAACACGUGGAUAACCUGCCCUAUGCUCCGGAAUAACCUCGGGAAACUGAGAAUAAUACCGGAUAGAUCACAACGCCUGGAACGGUGUGUGGUUGAAAGAUUACGGCAUAGGAUGGGUCUGCGGCGUAUCAGGUUGUAGGGGGUGUAAAGGACCUCCUAGCCAUCGACGCGUACGGGUGUUGGGAGACAUGGCCCGGAGAUGGAUUCUGAGACACGAAUCCAGACCCUACGGGGUGCAGCAGGCGCGAAAACUUCACACUGCAGGAAACUGUGAUGAGGGAACUCCAAGUGCUAUCACUAUGUGGUAGCUUUUCUUGACUAUUAAUCGGUCAUGGAAUAAGGGCUGGGAAAGACCGGUGCCAGCCGCCGCGGUAAUACCGGCAGCUCAAGUGGUCGUCGCUUUUAUUGGGCCUAAAACGUCCGUAGCCUGUUUGGUAAAUCUGUGGGUAAAUCAACCAGCUUAACUGGUUGAAUUCUGCAGAGACUGCCAGACUUGGGACCGGGAGAGGUGUGGGGUACUCUAGGGGUAGGGGUAAAAUCCUGUCAUCCUUAGAGGACCACCAGUUGCGAAGGCGCCACACUGGAACGGAUUCGACGGUCAGGGACGAAGCCUAGGGGCACGAACCGGAUUAGAUACCCGGGUAGUCCUAGGUGUAAACGCUGUGAACUUGGUGUCGGGGAUCCGUAAUGGGUCCUCGGUGCCGGAGUGAAGAUGUUAAGUUCACUGCCUGGGGAGUACGGUCGCAAGGCUGAAACUUAAAGGAAUUGGCGGGGGAGCACUGCAACGGGAGGAGCGUGCGGUUUAAUUGGAUUCAACGCCGGA
rnacentral:rRNA from 1 species